UGGUGUGUGUUAGUGUGUGUGUGUUAGUGUGUGUGACUCCUGUAUUACUGUGUUCUCCAGAUAUACUGGUGUGUAUAGGGGCUGGUCUGGUGGUGGUGUGUGUAUAUGUGUGUGUGUGUUAAUGUAUGUGUUUUAGUGUGUGUGUGUGUGUGUGACUCCUGUAUUACUGUGUUCUCCAGAUGUAUUGGUUUCUAUGGGGGCUGGUCUGGUGGUGGUGUGUGUUAAUGUGUGUGUGUUAGUGUGUGUGACUCCUGUAUUACUGUGUUCUCCAGAUGUACUGGUUUCUAUGGGGGCUGGUCUGGUGGUGGUUUGUCUGUUGGUUCUCCUUCUCCUCAUAUUCCUCAGACAAAGGAACAGAUCAAAGACACAUACAGUGGUAUUCAUGGCAUGCUUAAGGCACGGACUGCAGCAUUCAACACCGGCAGCAAGGAAAAUUAUAAAAAAUCCCGGGA
ensembl:lncRNA